rnacentral:piRNA from 1 species
AACGUGACUUCAAACUGCUUAUC